rnacentral:rRNA from 1 species
AGAGUUUGAUCCUGGCUCAGGAUGAACGCUAGCUACAGGCUUAACACAUGCAAGUCGAGGGGCAGCAUGAAAGUUUGCUUGCAAACUUUUGAUGGCGACCGGCGCACGGGUGAGUAACACGUAUCCAACCUGCCUCAUACUCGGGGAUAGCCUUUCGAAAGAAAGAUUAAUACCCGAUGUCAUAGUCCUACCGCAUGAUGGGAUUAUUAAAGAAUUUCGGUAUGGGAUGGGGAUGCGUUCCAUUAGUUAGUUGGCGGGGUAACGGCCCACCAAGACAACGAUGGAUAGGGGUUCUGAGAGGAAGGUCCCCCACAUUGGAACUGAGACACGGUCCAAACUCCUACGGGAGGCAGCAGUGAGGAAUAUUGGUCAAUGGACGAGAGUCUGAACCAGCCAAGUAGCGUGAAGGAUGACUGCCCUAUGGGUUGUAAACUUCUUUUAUAUGGGAAUAAAAUGUUCCACGUGUGGGAUUUUGUAUGUACCAUAUGAAUAAGGAUCGGCUAACUCCGUGCCAGCAGCCGCGGUAAUACGGAGGAUCCGAGCGUUAUCCGGAUUUAUUGGGUUUAAAGGGAGCGUAGGUGGAUUGUUAAGUCAGUUGUGAAAGUUUGCGGCUCAACCGUAAAAUUGCAGUUGAAACUGGCAGUCUUGAGUACAGUAGAGGUGGGCGGAAUUCGUGGUGUAGCGGUGAAAUGCUUAGAUAUCACGAAGAACUCCGAUUGCGAAGGCAGCUCACUGGACUGCAACUGACACUGAGGCUCGAAAGUGUGGGUAUCAAACAGGAUUAGAUACCCUGGUAGUCCACUCAGUAAACGAUG